GACGAACGCUGGCGGCGUGCUUAACACAUGCAAGUCGAGCGGUAAGGCCCUUUCGGGGGUACACGAGCGGCGAACGGGUGAGUAACACGUGGGUGACCUGCCCUCAGCUCUGGGAUAAGCCUGGGAAACCGGGUCUAAUACCGGAUAUGACUCCAUGACGCAUGUUGUGGGGUGGAAAGCCUUGUGCGGCUGAGGAUGGGCCCGCGGCCUAUCAGCUUGUUGGUGGGGUGAUGGCCUACCAAGGCGACGACGGGUAGCCGGCCUGAGAGGGCGACCGGCCACACUGGGGCUGAGACACGGCCCAGACUCCUACGGGAGGCAGCAGUGGGGAAUCUUGCGCAAUGGGCGAAAGCCUGACGCAGCGACGCCGCGUGAGGGAUGAC
rnacentral:rRNA from 1 species